UACGGAGGGUGCAAGCGUUAUCCGGAUUCACUGGGUUUAAAGGGUGCGUAGGCGGGUAAAUAAGUCCGUGGUGAAAUCUCUGAGCUUAACUCAGAAACUGCCGUGGAUACUAUUUGCCUUGAAUAUUGUGGAGGUGAGCGGAAUAUGUCAUGUAGCGGUGAAAUGCUUAGAUAUGACAUAGAACACCAAUUGCGAAGGCAGCUCACUACACAAUCAUUGACGCUGAGGCACGAAAGCGUGGGGAUCAAACAGG
rnacentral:rRNA from 1 species